CGGAAGCUCUUCUCUACCUCCGUAAAGAUGAUCUCUGAUGAACAGACAUGAUCAUGCCUGGAGAACAGGGAUGGACAGUCCCGCUUCUGAAAGACCCUGUCUGGCUGAUGAUUCAUGGUGCGCCGGGCAGACCCCAGGCCAAGAGACCCCACCCACAGUACCUGAGUGCUCAGCUGGGAACCAGACCAGACCUCAAAACAGACCAGCCCCCCAGCAUUGACCUGGAUGCCUGCCACAGCCUCCUCCCUGGUCUCCGGCCUCCCACCUCUGCUCCUCGGUCUCCUCUACCCAGCCAGUAACUGCAGAGAGCACUAAAGCACAGUCCUGGCAUCUCACCCCCUUAACCCUGGCCACGGCUUCCCAGUGCCUCCAAGAUAAAGCACCAACACCUGAGGACAGCAGG
rnacentral:lncRNA from 1 species